rnacentral:rRNA from 1 species
CCUACGGGCGGCAGCAGUGAGGAAUAUUGGUCAAUGGUCGGGAGACUGAACCAGCCAAGCCGCGUGAGGGAUGAAGGUACAGAGUAUCGUAAACCUCUUUUGUCAGGGAACAAAGGCGGGGACGUGUCCCCGGAUGAGUGUACCUGAAGAAAAAGCAUCGGCUAACUCCGUGCCAGCAGCCGCGGUAAUACGGAGGAUGCGAGCGUUAUCCGGAUUUAUUGGGUUAAAGGGGUGCGCAGGCGGUCUGUUAAGUCAGCGGUAAAAGCCCGGGGCACAACCCCGGCCCGCCGUUGAAACUGGCAGUCUCGAGUUGGAGAGAAGUAUGCGGAAUGCGCGGUGUAGCGGUGAAAUGCAUAGAUAUCGCGCAGAACUCCGAUUGCGAAGGCAGCAUGCCGGCUCCACACUGACGCUGAGGCACGAAAGCGUGGGUAUCGAACAGGAUUAGAUACCCUAGUAGUC